rnacentral:sRNA from 1 species
AUUAGAAAAGGCAACCAGUUUACAGGCAAAAGCAGAAAAAUCACCAAAGUCACCUAAUUCAGUGAAAGCAGAAAAAGCAUCCAGUUAUCAGAUGAAGUCAGAAAAGGUACCGAGUUCACCAGCAGAAGCAGAAAAGGGACCCGGUUUACUGUUGAAAGACAUGAGACAGAAGACAGAAUUACAACAGAUUGGAAAAAAAAUUCCAAGCUCCUUUACUUCUGUGGACAAAGUGAAUAUUGAAGCUGUAGAGGGAGAAAAAUAUGCUCUGCAAAACUCACCACGAUCUCAGAAGCAACGGACAUGUACAGAUAAUACUGGUGAUUCUGAUGAUAGUGCUUCAGGAAUUGAAGACGUAUUGGACGAUUUAAGUAAAAUGAAGAAUGAUGAAUCUAAUAAAGAAAAUUCUUCAGAGAUGGACUAUUUAGAAAAUGCCACUGUGAUAGAUGAAUCUACAUUGACACCUGAGCAGAGGCUGGGGUUGAAACAAGCAGAAGAACGCUUAGAAAGAGAUCACAUCUUUCGUCUUGAAAAACGAUCACCAGAAUAUACCAAUUGUCGGUAUCUAUGCAAACUUUGCUUAAUUCACAUUGAAAAUAUCCAGGGGGCUCAUAAACAUAUAAAGGAGAAACGACAUAAGAAAAAUAUUUUGGAAAAACAAGAAGAAAGUGAGCUUCGUUCUCUGCCACCUCCUUCCCCUGCCCACUUGGCUGCUUUAAGUGUUGCAGUCAUUGAAUUAGCAAAAGAACAUGGAAUAACAGAUGAUGACCUCAGAGUCCGUCAGGAAAUUGUGGAGGAAAUGUCAAAGGUUAUAACGACAUUUUUACCAGAAUGUUCACUUAGGUUGUAUGGCUCAUCUCUGACUAGAUUUGCUCUGAAAAGUAGUGAUGUUAAUAUAGAUAUAAAAUUUCCUCCCAAGAUGAACCAUCCAGAUCUUCUGAUAAAAGUACUUGGGAUUUUAAAGAAAAAUGUAUUAUAUGUAGAUGUGGAAUCUGAUUUUCACGCUAAAGUUCCUGUUGUGGUGUGCAGAGAUCGAAAAAGUGGUUUACUUUGUAGAGUGAGUGCAGGAAAUGAUAUGGCAUGUCUCACUACUGAUUUACUUACUGCCCUUGGCAAAAUAGAACCUGUCUUUAUUCCCUUGGUGUUAGCCUUUCGCUACUGGGCUAAGUUGUGCUAUAUUGACUCCCAAACUGAUGGUGGAAUCCCUUCUUACUGUUUUGCUUUAAUGGUGAUGUUUUUUCUACAACAGAGAAAACCCCCUCUUCUUCCUUGCUUACUUGGAAGUUGGAUUGAAGGCUUUGACCCAAAAAGAAUGGAUGACUUUCAGCUGAAGGGCAUAGUAGAAGAGAAGUUUGUGAAGUGGGAAUAUAAUUCAAGUAGUGCAACUGAGAAAAACUCAAUUGCUGAGGAAAACAAAGCUAAGGCAGACCAACCAAAAGAUGAUACCAAGAAGACAGAAACAGACAACCAAAGUAAUGCCAUGAAGGAAAAACAUGGCAAAUCUCCUUUAACAUUGGAAACACCAAAUCGGGUAUCCUUGGGACAGUUAUGGUUAGAGCUGCUAAAAUUUUACACACUGGAUUUUGCUUUGGAGGAAUAUGUCAUAUGUGUGCGGAUACAAGAUAUUUUAACAAGAGAAAAUAAAAACUGGCCUAAAAGGCGAAUAGCCAUUGAAGAUCCAUUUUCAGUGAAGAGGAAUGUUGCACGGAGCUUAAACAGCCAGCUGGUUUACGAAUAUGUUGUGGAGAGAUUUAGGGCAGCUUAUCGGUAUUUUGCCUGUCCUCAGACGAAGGGUGGAAAUAAGUCUACAGUGGACUUCAAGAAAAGAGAGAAGGGGAAAAUAAGCAAUAAGAAACCAGUCAAGUCGAACAAUAUGGCAACCAAUGGUUGUAUUCUGCUUGGGGAAACCACAGAAAAAAUAAAUGCAGAAAGAGAGCAACCUGUUAAAUGUGAUGAAAUGGAAUGUACAUCACAGAGAUGUAUUAUUGACAACAACAAUUUGUUGGUAAAUGAACUAGAUUUUGCUGACCACGGACAGGCCUCUUCAUCUCUUUCUACCAGCAAAAGCAGUGAAUUAGAGCCAAAAUUAGAUAAGAAACAAGAUGAUUUAGCACCUUCAGAAACUUGUUUAAAAAAAGAGCUCAGCCAAUGUAAUUGCAUUGAUUUGUCUAAGUCGCCUGACCCAGAUAAAUCUACUGGAACAGAUUGCAGGUCAAAUUUAGAAACAGAGAGUUCACAUCAGAGUGUGUGCACCGACACAUCUGCUACCUCUUGUAACUGCAAAGCUACAGAAGAUGCUUCUGACCUUAAUGAUGAUGAUAACCUCCCCACCCAGGAAUUAUAUUAUGUGUUUGAUAAAUUUAUUUUAACCUCUGGCAAGCCACCAACAAUAGUAUGCAGCAUCUGCAAAAAGGAUGGCCAUUCAAAGAAUGAUUGCCCAGAGGAUUUUAGGAAAAUUGAUUUAAAACCUCUACCACCAAUGACAAACCGAUUUCGGGAAAUACUUGAUUUAGUAUGUAAAAGAUGUUUUGAUGAGUUAUCACCACCUUGUUCUGAACAACACAACAGGGAGCAAAUUUUAAUUGGCUUGGAAAAGUUUAUUCAAAAAGAAUAUGAUGAAAAGGCAAGGUUGUGCUUAUUUGGCUCUUCUAAGAAUGGAUUUGGAUUUCGUGAUAGUGAUCUGGAUAUUUGUAUGACCCUGGAAGGCCAUGAAAAUGCAGAGGCCUUAAUAGUGGGAAGGAGAUUGUCCAAGCUCCAGGGAAGAAAAAGACUGAUUGGACAGGGAAGAAGUGUCCCAGGCCUUCUCAACAGCAACUAGCAAAGGAGGGUAUCCUUGUAGAUGUUCAGUCCUUUACCAGUCUAGCUAUUGUUAUUUAUGUUUCAAAAUGCGGGACUGCUUGCAAGAUUGGGGUGAGGCCCAGCUUCUGGCAUCUGUAGUGGUGUCAGUAUCGCCUCUGUUACGUUAUAAAAGAAUUCAGCAGAAUAGUGUGCUUUUCUAAAAUCAUUCUUUCGAACGGUGGUUUUGAAAUUGUUAGACCCGGAGUAAAGAUGGCAGUGAUGACUUAUUUCUGGCCAUAAGAAGUUGCUUCUGGUGUCUUAACAUCUUGUUUUAUAAAGAAACUGAAAAGUUGCAAGUAUUUUAUUUGUUCUCCUUUACUUAAAUUCUGCUUAGAGCCACCUACUUGGAAAGUGGCUGCCCUUCUCCAUUCUGAAGAGUAAGAAUUGAGGGAAUAGGAAAUGAUUUUUAUACCCAGGAAAGAGGUUUGAGUUUUAGAUAUCUUCUAUGUAAAAUUUAUUAAACUUCUAAUCACUAAGGGUUUGUAUAUUAUAUAUAAUCUGUGCCAUUCCUACUGGGAAGUUGAAACAAUGAAAAUAAUAAAUCAUUUUCUUUCAGAUGAGCCAUAAUUGAAACUUUUAAGAUUUAGCAUAAUUGUAUCCUUGAAUAAUAAAGAGAAAAAUUACCUCCUUUGUUAAUUUUAUCAUAUGUGAAUUAGUAACUAAUGGUUUCUUUGAAAUCCUUUGGUUUAGCUGCAAUGGCUCCUGCUCUCAUGUAGCUAAAAAGAACAUGUUGGAAAAAUGCAAGUGACUUUAUAACUCUUGGGAUUGAUGUUUAUACCCUUCAGCUAUUUCCAGUUAAUUUUUAAUGCCAUAAUCAUUAUGUAUUAUGAUUAUCAUUACCAUACCAACUCUGCUGUCUCUGGUUUUUACAACAGUAACACAUUUAAAUUUACAGAGGUAAGAAUUUCCUUGGAGAAAUAGGUGCUGGUGAUAAUAGGAGUAUCUUUCUUUUCCAUAUCAACAUAAUUAUAAUAAAUAACUCACAGAUUUAAAGGCUUAUUUUGUGCCAGGCAUUCUGCUGAGUGCUUUACAUACAUGUCUCAUGUAAUCCUCCCAACAGCUCUGCAGGACAGGAGUUUAUGAUUAUCUUGAUUUUAUAGAAUAGUAAUGUAAUGCUCAGAGAGGUUGAACAUCUGGUUAGUCACACAGCUAAUCAAUACUUAGUUUAAGAUUUGAGACCGGGUGCGGUGGCUCACGCCUGUAAUCCCAGCACUUUGGGAGGCCGAGGCGGGCGGAUCACGAGGUCGGGAGAUCGAGACCAUCCUGGCGAACACGGUGAAACCCCGUCUCUACUAAAAAUACAAAAAAAUUAGCUGGGCACGGUGGCAGGUGCCUGUAGUCCCAGCUACUCGGGAGGCUGAGACAGGAGAAUGGCAUGAACCCGGGAGGCAGAGCUUGCAGUGAGCCGAGGUAGCACCACUGCACUCUGGCCUGGGCGAAAGAGCAAGACUCCGUCUCAAAAAAAAAAAAAAAAAAAAA